ACAUUACAAACUGAUAUACAUAGUGAUGCCAUUCCAACAUGUGUUUGCGAAAAGUCGAUGG
rnacentral:sRNA from 1 species